GACGAACGCUGGCGGCGUGCCUAAUACAUGCAAGUAGAACGCUGAAGAGAGGAGCUUGCUCUUCUUGGAUGAGUUGCGAACGGGUGAGUAACGCGUAGGUAACCUGCCUUGUAGCGGGGGAUAACUAUUGGAAACGAUAGCUAAUACCGCAUAACAAUGGAUGACACAUGUCAUUUAUUUGAAAGGGGCAAUUGCUCCACUACAAGAUGGACCUGCGUUGUAUUAGCUAGUAGGUGAGGUAAUGGCUCACCUAGGCGACGAUACAUAGCCGACCUGAGAGGGUGAUCGGCCACACUGGGACUGAGACACGGCCCAGACUCCUACGGGAGGCAGCAGUAGGGAAUCUUCGGCAAUGGGGGCAACCCUGACCGAGCAACGCCGCGUGAGUGAAGAAGGUUUUCGGAUCGUAAAGCUCUGUUGUAAGUCAAGAACGGGUGUGAGAGUGGAAAGUUCACACUGUGACGGUAGCUUACCAGAAAGGGACGGCUAACUACGUGCCAGCAGCCGCGGUAAUACGUAGGUCCCGAGCGUUGUCCGGAUUUAUUGGGCGUAAAGCGAGCGCAGGCGGUUUGAUAAGUCUGAAGUUAAAGGCUGUGGCUCAACCAUAGUUCGCUUUGGAAACUGUCAAACUUGAGUGCAGAAGGGGAGAGUGGAAUUCCAUGUGUAGCGGUGAAAUGCGUAGAUAUAUGGAGGAACACCGGUGGCGAAAGCGGCUCUCUGGUCUGUAACUGACGCUGAGGCUCGAAAGCGUGGGGAGCGAACAGGAUUAGAUACCCUGGUAGUCCACGCCGUAAACGAUGAGUGCUAGGUGUUGGAUCCUUUCCGGGAUUCAGUGCCGCAGCUAACGCAUUAAGCACUCCGCCUGGGGAGUACGACCGCAAGGUUGAAACUCAAAGGAAUUGACGGGGGCCCGCACAAGCGGUGGAGCAUGUGGUUUAAUUCGAAGCAACGCGAAGAACCUUACCAGGUCUUGACAUCCCGAUGCUAUUUCUAGAGAUAGAAAGUUACUUCGGUACAUCGGUGACAGGUGGUGCAUGGUUGUCGUCAGCUCGUGUCGUGAGAUGUUGGGUUAAGUCCCGCAACGAGCGCAACCCCUAUUGUUAGUUGCCAUCAUUCAGUUGGGCACUCUAGCGAGACUGCCGGUAAUAAACCGGAGGAAGGUGGGGAUGACGUCAAAUCAUCAUGCCCCUUAUGACCUGGGCUACACACGUGCUACAAUGGUUGGUACAACGAGUUGCGAGUCGGUGACGGCGAGCUAAUCUCUUAAAGCCAAUCUCAGUUCGGAUUGUAGGCUGCAACUCGCCUACAUGAAGUCGGAAUCGCUAGUAAUCGCGGAUCAGCACGCCGCGGUGAAAAAGUUCCCGGGCCU
rnacentral:rRNA from 1 species